rnacentral:rRNA from 1 species
AACGCGAAGAACCUUACCAGGUUGACAUACGUGCUAUCUAGAGAUAGGAAGUCUGGGACACGGGAUACAGGUGGUGCAUGGUUGGAGCGUGGUGGGAUGUUGGGUUAAGCCGCAACGAGCGCAACCCCUAUUGUUAGUUGCCAAUUAAGUUGGGCACUAACGAGACUGCCGGUGAUAAACCGGAGGAAGGUGGGGAUGACGAAAAAUGCCCCUUAUGACCUGGGCUACACACGUGCUACAAUGGAUGGUACAACGAGGCGAGACAGUGAUGUUUAGCUAAUUAAAACCAUAGUGGAUUGUAGGCUGCAACGCCUACAUGAAGGGAAGCUAGUAAGCGGAAGCACGCCGCGGUGAAUACGUCCGGGUUGACACACCG